rnacentral:rRNA from 1 species
UACGAAGGGGGCUAGCGUUGUUCGGAUUUACUGGGCGUAAAGCGCACGUAGGCGGUUUGUUAAGUCAGGGGUGAAAUCCCAGAGCUCAACUCUGGAACUGCCUUUGAUACUGGCAAGCUAGAGUCCGGAAGAGGUAAGUGGAACUCCUAGUGUAGAGGUGGAAUUCGUAGAUAUUAGGAAGAACACCAGUGGCGAAGGCGGCUUACUGGUCCGGUACUGACGCUGAGGUGCGAAAGCGUGGGGAGCAAACAGG